GGGCAGUGGAGCAUGUGAAAGGCAAUGGGAGACAGCAUAACGCGGAAGAAACUUCCACUUCUCGAGUGGAAGAAAAUGUUAAAGGUAGCAACAUAAGCUUCAGGUCAAAAGACCCUCCUGAGCAGCCGAGAGCUGAAGCAGUUCCUUCAGAAUUUGCAACUAUAAGGCCAGGUCUUGCUGCAGAUCUGAAAUUUGGAGGAUCUGGUUCCUAUCCGAAUCUACCAUGGGUUUCAACAACUGGUCCAGGUCCAAAUGGUAGAACAAUAUCUGGUGUUACUUAUAGAUACAAUCCCACCCAAAUCAGGAUUGUUUGUGCUUGUCAUGGGUCUCACAUGUCACCGGAAGAGUUUGUGCGGCAUGCUAGCGAAGAGCAAACUAGUCAAGAAGGUGGUGCUGGUGUUUCAUCGUUUCCAAGUAGCAAUCCUGCUGCCUCUGCACAAAGCUGAUUUAGUAUAUGAAAUCAUAUGUCGAAGAAUGAAGUAAGCUUUUAUUAUAUCCCCAUAUAAAUUUUAAGAAGCAGAAGCAUCUUUAUAUUAUUUAGUUCAAAUGAAUGAGUCCAGAUUUCUUAAUAUGCAUAUGCACAUAUCCCAUUAAAUUGUAAUAGUCUAUCCUCUGAGCCAAAUAUUUGUGAUAAAAUUAUGACCUUUUGCUUAUCAAGCACUCUCUUGGGGCUUUCC
rnacentral:misc_RNA from 1 species